CGGAGGGCAUCGCCGGCGGCGGCGGUGAGAGGAGGAACUGGAAGUCUGGAACUGCGUUCACUGGGGUCGGAGAUGAAUUGGACCAUGUGAUACUAAAUAGUUCAAGGUAUGUUUCCGCAAAAGUUCCCCACGUUGAUAGCCUUCGAUCUCAGCCGUGUAACCAUAAUUCGACGGAGAUCGGUGGGCUGAUUAGGAUCACGAUUGAUCCAUUUUUAGGGACGUAAACGGAAAUAUUGGAUUGUACGACGGCCGUACCAGAAAAGCUCAUCCACAGUCAUUCCUCGGUGAAAUUUCCCAAUUUCCUUUUCCCUUUCUGAAUUGAGAAUUGAGAGGUCGGCGAAAAUUUCCUUCCACCGAGGCGUGCAAGCACGAUGCACGAACCAACGGUCCAAUGUGCGAAAUCGCGGCCCUUCUCUGGCCCGGAUGCUUCCAGCGCCGCCGCCGUUCGCCGUCGCCGAGAGGGUGGAACCGAUUCACCUUCCAGCGAGGAUAGCAGCCUCCGAGACGGGCUCUUCUCGGGCGGAAGGAUGAGCCGUCAGCCGUGUGCCUCGGCAUAACUCACUGCUAGAACUAGUAGCCUGGAACCGGCGGGGCGGAUGGAGUGGCUCCGGGCCGACGCUCGUGCGAGCUCAGAGUCCGUUGGUUCGUGCUGAAGACAAUCAGGUAUCGGGGUUGUUAGCUCUGUCUUCUCGCAUUCACGCGCGCUUCUAUUAGUUCUCUAUGCUUUGAUUCCUUUGCUGCAUGCGUCGGAACUGUUUGAUGUAUUUCCUCACUGGGUUCGUGCCGCGCUCUACCACUCCACUAUGGAGUGAUCGAGAUAGAUAGGUUCAAAUGUAGUGAGAUGCUCUGUUCUGGAUUAUAUUAGUCGAAAUGCUUUAGUAGUUGUACUUAUUUGUUCGCAAGGAUUUUAGCAGUCAUACUUAUUCGUGCAUGCAGCAUGCACAUCAAUAUCUAUCUAAUGCACUAGUUUUUAAAUUACCUGCAAAUUGUUUUUCUGGUGGCGAUGAGAGAGGGAUUAUUUAUGCCAAAAUUAUGUAAAGCCACAUGUAUCUUAGCAUACAGACCACAGAUCUGAUAUUGAUAUGUGAAAGCCAAAUAAGACCGAGAUUUGAGAUCACUUCGAACAGUAAUCUAUGUUAUGCUCUAAGUACUAAAAAUGCUAUAGAGGUGAAAUUUGCAUUAAACUUCACUUUUAGUUCUCUAACAGCACCACAACAGAUAAACCUUAGAUGCAUCAUGCUCGUGCACAUGGCCCAAUCCAAAUACCAGCGCAUACAUAUACAGAUCGAAUAACACACAGUGUAAAAGGUUUGCUGAAAGAGACGUGCUGAACAAUAUGAAUCUACACACAGGUACGGUUUGCACCGUAGACUCAAAACAUAGACAGAUAGUGGUCCUUAUGGAAGUUAGACCAGUGGCCUGUUGUAAUUGGCUUCUAGCAUUAAACGGAGGCGGCUCACCACUUCUGUGAAAGUUGGUCUUUUCUCAGGCUCGUUUGACCAGCACUGCUCCAUGAGUUCCCUCCAUUGGGGAUCACAUGAUACUGGUAUUGGUGGCCUCAAUGUGUUGCUCAAAAUUCCUCCUGCAAAUUUUCAGUUUGUGAUCAGGAACGCAGAUAGUGUUAGAGCAGAGGAUAUCCUUUAUAAUAACUUCAUAAUGUUUUAAGCAAACCUAUAACUCCUCCAUGGUGCAUGCCAGCAUAUGGCUCCUCGCCCGUGAGUAUUUCCCACAUUAUGAUUCCAAAAGAAUACACAUCAACCUAUCAUAGUGUCAGAUAAAGGCACAUUUAAUUGUAGAUAAUACAGAUAACUAAGUCUGAAGAAUUAGUUUUCUUUUCUUCUUCACUUAAGCAACUUGAAUAUGCAGAAAUAGCUGAGGCGAAACAUAACCCUCCUGAAUAACAGAGUUAGUCAACUCAAUUAUCUUAGUACCAAAAUCACAAUUCAGUUGUUGGUUUUCAGCUUAUUGAGUGCCAUAUGAGAAACACAGAUAAUGCCACAGCGCAUGUUCUGCUUUGUAAUACCAUUAAUUUUUGGGGUCAUCAAGAUAGGUUGUGAGUACUACCUUGGUUGAUACCAUAUUGCUGCUCAUUUCAAGCAUUUCAGGAGCCAUCCAUGGAAGAGUUCCUCUCAUUCCAACAGAGACCAUUGUAGUCUGUUUCACCUUGGACAAACCAAAAUCAGCUACCUGCAGUCAAGUUUACCGGUUGCUUUAUUUCAGCUCACAUGGAAAGGAAGGGGCCAUUUAUACAUUUCUUCUGACUCAUUUUAUACCAACACAAACAUUAUAUUGAUGGAAAGGUGGCACACCUUGCAUAUGGGACGAGAUGGAUCAUUGAGAUUCACCAGCAAAUUAUCACACUUCAGAUCGAAAUGAAUUAUAUCUUUGGAAUGCAAGUAUUCCAUUCCUAUAGCCACAUCCAUAGCAAGAGUUAUCCGUUUACGCCUGUCCAGAAAUUUUUCUUUGCGCAGAAGGACUUUCUUGAGGGAUCCGCUGGCCAUGAAUUCUGUCACAGUUGCUAAUGUCCCCCCAGGUCCAUUAUUCACAAUCCCGUAGAAUGCCAGCACAUUAGGAUGGUGAAGUUUCGAGAGGAUGGCUGCUUCUCUCCAAAAUUCUACAAUCUGCGUGAUAAAAUUUGUAAUUGUUUUAUGAUGAGCAAAGGCUAGUUCACUAGAUCUUGGGACACUGAUCUAUUCUAGUACUAACUGCUAAGUCUCCAUUGUGAUUGUGACUCCAAUUUGUCAUGUGAUUUUAAGCAACUAACCAGUUUAUCUGUCUCAGAUGAUGGAUACAUGAAACAGCUAUUCUUUAUCCGUUUGAUGGCAACAUCUGUUCCCCUCCAUCUUCCAUGAAAGACAGUUCCAAAUGCACCAGAGCCCAUCUCCUGCAGAUCUUCGAGGUCCUCGUUGCUUAUUAUCUGAUGUGUAAGUCAAAUAAACAAUCAAUGUUACAUUGUGGAAAAUCAUGUGCAAUGAUGUGAUUGAUUGAUGAUUCCUUGUCCAGAACUGCAAAUUACUUGUACUAAAGCUUUUUUGUUCCUUGUUUUUCUUCUGUCCGUAUAUUUUCCUAACAGUACUCUUGCGGUGUAAGUUAUUCUACACAUUUUUUUUACUGAAAUUUUUUUAUGUUGAAUGUAUGAGGGGCAAGAUGGUCAUUUCAGAUGUCCAGGUAUAAAAAAAGAAAAAAUGAAAUAAAAAGAGAAAAAUGGCAUGAAAAUAAAAGUGCCAAUGUCAUUGUUGGCAAUCUGGUGAAUCCAUUCUUUGUAGUGACAAACUAGCGAAGUCCAACGUUCAAAGACCUACAAUGGCAAAAAGCUCGGGGUGGGGAUCCCCACAAGAUACUAUGCAGAUUCUUGCAAAAUAUAUAGUUCUGAACUUCUCAUUGAACUAAUGACUUUGCAGUUGGGACUGAAGAUUCUAGCUUAAUUUACAAACGAGCUACUCACCUGGACAUUGCUUAUAAUAUCUAUACCCAAUGUUACAUUUGCAGGAAGGUCUAGUUUAUUUUCCCUGGUUUCAUAUACCUGCCAUCAGAGGAAAUGCGAAGGCUGUCAUGGAAAAUGCUUACGGAAUUACCUCUCAUGACUACAUAUGUGGAGGUGACGGGAUGUACCUCAAGCUCUGAGAUUGGUGAUGCAA
rnacentral:lncRNA from 1 species